GUGGGAAUUCGCUGAAGCGGCGGCCGCAGCCUCCGACGCUGCGCGGGCCUGGUCUUCCGCGCGUUUGAUACGUUCCUUCUGCG
rnacentral:tRNA from 1 species